GACGAACGCUGGCGGCGUGCCUAAUACAUGCAAGUAGAACGCUGAAGGAGGAGCUUGCUCUUCUGGAUGAGUUGCGAACGGGUGAGUAACGCGUAGGUAACCUGCCUGGUAGCGGGGGAUAACUAUAGGAAACGAUAGCUAAUACCGCAUAACAGUAGAUGUUGCAUGACAUUUACUUAAAAGGUGCAAUUGCAUCACUACCAGAUGGACCUGCGUUGUAUUAGCUAGUUGGUGGGGUAACGGCUCACCAAGGCGACGAUACAUAGCCGACCUGAGAGGGUGAUCGGCCACACUGGGACUGAGACACGGCCCAGACUCCUACGGGAGGCAGCAGUAGGGAAUCUUCGGCAAUGGACGGAAGUCUGACCGAGCAACGCCGCGUGAGUGAAGAAGGUGUUCGGAUCGUAAAGCUCUGUUGUAAGAGAAGAACGAGUGUGAGAGUGGAAAGUUCACACUGUGACGGUAUCUUACCAGAAAGGGACGGCUAACUACGUG
rnacentral:rRNA from 1 species